rnacentral:rRNA from 1 species
UACGAAGGGGGCUAGCGUUGCUCGGAAUUACUGGGCGUAAAGCGCACGUAGGCGGCUUUUUAAGUCGGAGGUGAAAUCCUGGAGCUCAACUCCAGAACUGCCUUUGAUACUGGCAAUCUUUGAGUCCGGGAGAGGUGGGUGGAACUGCGAGUGUAGAGGUGAAAUUCGUAGAUAUUCGCAAGAACACCAGUGGCGAAGGCGGCUCACUGGCCCGGUACUGACGCUGAGGUGCGAAAGCGUGGGGAGCAAACAGG